rnacentral:rRNA from 1 species
AGGUGUGAUCAUACCAGCUCUAAUGCACCUGAUUCCAUCAGAACUCCGAAGUUAAGCGUGCUUGGGAAAUAGUAGUACUAACAUGGGCUUUGUCACAGGAC